GCUGCAUCCCUGGGCCGCCCCAGACCAUGGAGCACAGCCCCAGCCGGGCCUCUGGAAACCCAGAAACACAGGCAGAUCUGCAAAGAAGGAAGCCCUUACUUUCAGGGUUUGCGGAAGGUUUGCUGCCUAAGCACCAUUUUUCCCUCCUCGAAUCUCUCCACACCUCCUGCACGCCUUCUGCCUGGGGGGUUUGCAAGCAGCUGAUCGGAAGACGGGCUGGCUUAGGGGAAGGGGGCUUUGGGGUAGGGCCUGAGCGCUGAGGCCCCAGGCUGUCCCUGCAGCUGCUGCCUUUGCAAACGCCUGGAAUCCUGGAGCUGUUCCCACCCAGUCGAGCCGGGCCAGCUGAGCGCUGACUCCCCUUUAAGCUGGGCACAGGGGGGCCUGCCUGCCCCAACCUUCUGUGUCUGUCCUCGUCCUGGAGCCCGGAGGCCAACCUCAUGGGCAUGGCAGGGCUGAGAGGGCCCCCUCCCAACCCUCCCUGGGGAGAGGCCCCCCUCACUGUCACACGCCAGAUCACUCGGGCCACUCCACGAGUCACAAGGCAGAUUUUCCAUUAGCGUCAAACGCCUGCGCAUCCUGACCAGCAGCUGAUGUGAGUGCAAGGGGAAAGCACUUUAGUGAAGCCUCCUCACCCCGUCGUGCGCUCACAACGGCUUCUGUUGUUGGUGGGACACCCUCACGGUCCGCAGCAUGGUCACGGGAUCUGGCUGAGGUCCCAAGACCCAAGGCCAGCCAACGAGAGAGCGGCGCUCCCCCACCCACAGAAACCAGCUCAGUGACAGCCAUGGGACCCAAGUCCACACAAUCCAAACCCUGCCUGGGAUUUUUCUAGAAUGACCCUGAUCCUCCAAGCUGGGAGUUCUGAGGACCCCCUAGGCCUCGAGCUCCCAGGCCAUCUUUGCCUGGGAGCAAAGCCAACCUCAGUGAAAUCAAGUUUAGAGUCUGAAUUAAGAUGGUAGCUAGGGUUAUCUUGCCAGAGCCUAGAUGCAGCUGUGCCUGAAGGCAGCUGCCUCCUACACUUUCCAGUUAAGUCAACCAGCAAACUCUUCUUUUCUGAAAUGAGCUUGGCUGGGGGUCCUGUCAGUUGCAACCGAAAGGAAUCCUCAGUACCGCUGAGCGACAUUAAUUCUCAAUGUAUUGAAACAGGGAUCUGUAGAUGGUCAUGGGGAGCAAACCAGUGAGAGGAUACUGGCUCUGAAAUGUGGGGGAGGGGAUCUCAGGUUUAGGCAGAUACAUGUGCAGACCCCCCCACCCCUGCGUUGCCUCUGAAACUGCCCGUCUAGGCCGGUCCAACUGUUUCCUGAAGGAUCUUUGCAAGCCACUAGAAGGGACCCUAAUCACAGAACUAGGAUCUGGGAUUAAGGUCAGCAUAAAAUAUUUGCAAACCGUGAGUUCCUUCUCCGAAGAUUCCCACAAACAUGGUGACAACCCUGGGCAUGUUGGUGAGUUC